AUACUUAACUGGCAGGGGAGAUACCAUGAUCACGAAGAUGAUUUUCCCAGGGCUAGGCUUAUCCAUUGCGCUCCCGAUGUGCUGACCCCUGCAAUUUCCCCAAAUGUGGGAAACUUGACUGCAUAAUUUGUGAUAGUAGGGAACUGUGUUCAUGCUUUCCCCUG
ensembl:snRNA U1 U1 spliceosomal RNA